AACGAACGCUGGCGGCACGUUUUAAGCAUGCAAGUCGAAUGGCAGCAGGGGCAACUCUGUGAGAAUGGCGAACGGGUGAGUAACACGUAGGUGAUCUGCCUUGAGGAUGAGGAUAGCCUGUGGAAACACAGGGUAAUACCGAAUGAGCUGACGAGACUUUGGUUUUGUUAGUAAAGGUGCUACGGCACCGCCUUGAGAGGAGCCUGCGGCUGAUUAGCUAGUUGGUGGGGUAAGAGCUUACCAAGGCGACGAUCAGUAGCCGGCCUGAGAGGGUGUACGGCCACACUGGAACUGAGACACGGUCCAGACUCCUACGGGAGGCAGCAGCUAAGAAUCUUCCGCAAUGGGCGAAAGCCUGACGGAGCGAUGCCGCGUGAUCGAUGAAGGUCGAGAGAUUGUAAAGACCUUUUCUACAUGAGGAAUAAGUCUGGGAGGGAAUGCCCGGAUGAUGACGUUAGUGUAGGAAUAAGCCCCGGCUAAUUACGUGCCAGCCGCCGCGGUAA
rnacentral:rRNA from 1 species